rnacentral:rRNA from 1 species
UACGUAGGGGGCAAGCGUUGUCCGGAAUCAUUGGGCGUAAAGAGCGUGUAGGCGGCUCGGUAAGUCCGCUCUGAAAGCCCGGGGCUCAACCCCGGGAGGCGGGCUGAUACUGUCGGGCUAGAGUCCGGAAGAGGCGAGUGGAAUUCCUGGUGUAGCGGUGAAAUGCGCAGAUAUCAGGAGGAACACCAAUGGCGAAGGCAGCUCGCUGGGACGGUACUGACGCUGAGACGCGAAAGCGUGGGGAGCAAACAGG